AAUUUCUCCAAUCUGGGGCAAAUACCAAAAACUAGUUUGGGGAUUUUUAAUUUUGAAGGACCAGCAAGUUCUCCCUUUGGUCUACCCAACCUUCAAUAGUGUUGUAUUAAAACCUUUGUGGUGUAUAUAUAUAUUUCAAUACCUUUUGGGGUACAAGUGGUUUUUGGUCUCUAAGAAGCUCCAAACUUUCCCUCAUUUUCCUUUCUUCUUCUAAGCCAUCCGAAGUCUUUCAACCUGCCACCCAAUUCCAAAGUUUCUUUCAUAUUUUCAGGUAUUUUUAUAGCAGUGCCCCACUCCUUGGUACCAAUUUUCUGUACUAGGCUGUUCUUACAUUUCUAUAAACAUCAAAGUCUGGGUAAUUUAUAAAGCAAAGGUGUUUAAUUGGCUCAUGGUUCUGUAGGCUUUAUAGGAAGCAUCGUGCUGGCAUCUGUUCAGCUUCUAGGGAGGCCUCAGGAAGCUUGCAAUCAUGGCAGAAGCUGAAGAGGGAGCAAAUGUCACGCACAGUGAUAGCAGGAGCCAUGGGGGGGGGGGGAGGUGCCACACCCUUUUUAAACAACCAGAUCUUGUGAAAACUCACCAUUGUGAGGACAGCACCAAGGGGAUGGCAUUAAACUACUCAUCAGGUAUUCGUUCUCAUGAUCCAAUCACCUCCCACCAGACCCACCUCCAACAUGGGAGAUUACAAUUCAACAUGAAGCUUAGAGGAAACAACAUCCAAACUACAUCAACAUCUUACUUUAUACACCCUGAUUACUUAAUGCUGGGAACAAGCCCUAAGCCUGUCAUAAAUAGGCCUUAAAGAAACUGGCCAUAAACAGGAUUUCUGCAGCAACGCGACAUGCUCGUGAUGGCUGUGAUGCACAUGGCUAGAAGUUGUUGGUUUACUGGAGCAGGGCAAGGAACGCCUGGCCACCUAAAGUGGGAAACUGCUCAAACCACAAACAAUAGCAGGAGCAGGCUGUGCCUUAACAUGUUUUUGCUGCUGAUAAUCAGCCAGAACCUGUUUCUCUACUCCUUGCUAAGAAUGCUUUGUUUCCCG
rnacentral:lncRNA from 1 species